UGUCGAUCCGACUCGUCGCUCCUCUCCGCGCAGCCCCGGCUAACCCUAGCACCAGGGUCGUCGGUGCACGGUCUCGUCAUCGACGCUGGCGCUGGCCAGAUCCGCCAUGCCAUAGAGACCGAGCACAGGCACAUGCCGACGGUGGAUCUGCUGCUCGCCCCCUCUCUCCUCUGACGGUGGUAGACAGGAGUUGCAGCGGCUGUGCUGCCACAAGAAAGGAAGCUCGCUCUAGGUUUGCUUCUUCUUCUCCACCGGUGUUUAAAGAGAGGAGAGGAGCUCACGCCAUGGAAGUUUGGGAUGCCCUCCCCAAGAAAGAUGGAUGCAUCAGGAGAUUGGUUGAUGAUUCCUUCUUCCUCUUUUCUUCGUCUCAGCAUCUGAGUUUGCAAAGGAGUGUGCGCUUCCUGAGGUGACCUUUGCCGUGUGACGACAAUGGAUGAUAGCAUCGGAUACAAAACCGCAAUGUUGAG